AUCUAAAUAGUUUAAGGGUUAAAAUAUUGGUUUGUGGUGCCGAUGAUAUAGGGUCUAUUUUAGAUA
rnacentral:tRNA from 1 species